rnacentral:rRNA from 1 species
GCAGUCGACGGCAGCACGGGAGCAAUCCUGGUGGCGAGUGGCGAACGGGUGAGUAAUGUAUCGGAACGUACCUUUCAGUGGGGGAUAACGUAGCGAAAGUUACGCUAAUACCGCAUAUUCUGUGAGCAGGAAAGCAGGGGAUCGCAAGACCUUGCGCUGAUUGAGCGGCCGAUAUCAGAUUAGCUAGUUGGUGAGGUAAAGGCUCACCAAGGCGACGAUCUGUAGCGGGUCUGAGAGGAUGAUCCGCCACACUGGAACUGAGACACGGUCCAGACUCCUACGGGAGGCAGCAGUGGGGAAUUUUGGACAAUGGGCGCAAGCCUGAUCCAGCCAUGCCGCGUGAGUGAAGAAGGCCUUCGGGUUGUAAAGCUCUUUCAGCCGGGAAGAAAACGCAUGGGUUAAUACCCUGUGUGGAUGACGGUACCGGAAUAAGAAGCACCGGCUAACUACGU